rnacentral:rRNA from 1 species
ACAGGGGGGGCAAGCGUUGUUCGGAAUUACUGGGCGUAAAGGGUUCGUAGGUGGCCAACUAAGUCAGAUGUGAAAUCCCUCAGCUUAACUGGGGAACUGCUUCUGAAACUGGUUGGCUUGAGUGCAGGAGAGGAAUGCGGAAUUCCAGGUGUAGCGGUGAAAUGCGUAGAUAUCUGGAGGAACACCGGUGGCGAAGGCGGCAUUCUGGACUGUAACUGACACUGAGGAACGAAAGCCAGGGGAGCAAACGGGAUUAGAUACCCCGGUAGUCCUGGCCCUAAACGAUGAAUGCUUGGUGUGGCGGGUAUCGAUCCCUGCCGUGCCGAAGUUAACGCGAUAAGCAUUCCGCCUGGGGAGUACGGUCGCAAGGCUG